GGGUGAGUAACACGUGGGCAAUCUGCCCUGCACUCUGGGACAAGCCCUGGAAACGGGGUCUAAUACCGGAUAUGACUGUCCAUCGCAUGGUGGAUGGUGUAAAGCUCCGGCGGUGCAGGAUGAGCCCGCGGCCUAUCAGCUUGUUGGUGAGGUAGUGGCUCACCAAGGCGACGACGGGUAGCCGGCCUGAGAGGGCGACCGGCCACACUGGGACUGAGACACGGCCCAGACUCCUACGGGAGGCAGCAGUGGGGAAUAUUGCACAAUGGGCGAAAGCCUGAUGCAGCGACGCCGCGUGAGGGAUGACGGCCUUCGGGUUGUAAACCUCUUUCAGCAGGGAAGAAGCGAAAGUGACGGUACCUGCAGAAGAAGCGCCGGCUAACUACGUGCCAGCAGCCGCGGUAAUACGUAGGGCGCAAGCGUUGUCCGGAAUUAUUGGGCGUAAAGAGCUCGUAGGCGGCUUGUCACGUCGGUUGUGAAAGCCCGGGGC
rnacentral:rRNA from 1 species